CCUACGGGACGCAGCAGUGGGGGAUAUUGCACAAUGGGGGGAACCCUGAUGCAGCGACGCCGCGUGGGUGAAGGAGUGCUUCGGCAUGUAAAGCCCUCUCGGCAGGGAAGAAGCAAUACGGUACCUUACUAAGAAGCCCCGGCUAACUCCGUGCCAGCAGCCGCGGUUAUACGUUGGGGGCGAGCGUUAUCCGGAUUCACUGGGCGUAAAGGGAGCGUAGUCGGCCAUGCAAGCCCGGGGUGAAACCCC
rnacentral:rRNA from 1 species